CGACCGGCGCACGGGUGAGUAACACGUAUCCAACCUGCCGAUAACUCGGGGAUAGCCUUUCGAAAGAAAGAUUAAUAUCCGAUAGCAUAUCAAGAUCGCAUGAUCUUGAUAUUAAAGAAUUUCGGUUAUCGAUGGGGAUGCGUUCCAUUAGUUAGUUGGCGGGGUAACGGCCCACCAAGGCGACGAUGCGUAGGGGUUCUGAGAGGAAGGUCCCCCACACUGGUACUGAGACACGGACCAGACUCCUACGGAAGGCAGCAG
rnacentral:rRNA from 1 species